GAUGAACGCUGGCGGCGUGCCUAAUACAUGCAAGUCGAGCGAACGGACGAGGAGCUUGCUCCUCUGAUGUUAGCGGCGGACGGGUGAGUAACACGUGGAUAACCUACCUAUAAGACUGGGAUAACUUCGGGAAACCGGAGCUAAUACCGGAUAAUAUUUUGAACCGCAUGGUUCAAAAGUGAAAGACGGUCUUGCUGUCACUUAUAGAUGGAUCCGCGCUGCAUUAGCUAGUUGGUAAGGUAACGGCUUACCAAGGCAACGAUGCAUAGCCGACCUGAGAGGGUGAUCGGCCACACUGGAACUGAGACACGGUCCAGACUCCUACGGGAGGCAGCAGUAGGGAAUCUUCCGCAAUGGGCGAAAGCCUGACGGAGCAACGCCGCGUGAGUGAUGAAGGUCUUCGGAUCGUAAAACUCUGUUAUUAGGGAAGAACAAAUGUGUAAGUAACUGUGCACAUCUUGACGGUACCUAAUCAGAAAGCCACGGCUAACUACGUG
rnacentral:rRNA from 1 species